rnacentral:rRNA from 1 species
CUUAAAAAUUUAAGGUACUGCCUGCUCAAUGCUUUAGUAAAUAGCCGCAGUAUUUUGACUGUGCUAAGGUAGCAUAAUCAUUAGUCUCUUGAUUGGAGGCUGGUAUGAAUGGCAAGACGAGAAAGAAGCUGUCUCUAAAAAAUCUAUCGAAAUUCAUUUUUUAGUGAAAAAGCUAAAAUGAAUUCAAGGGACGAUCAGACCCUAUGGAGCUUUAUUUAAUUGAGAAUUUAAGUUUGAGAAAAUUAAUUUUUCAGGAAAUUUUGUUGGGGCGACAAAGAGUUUUAAGUAACACUCUUUUUAAAAAACAUAAAUUAAUGGAUAAAGGAUCCCCAAAGAGGGAUUAGAAGACUAAGUUACCCUAGGGAUAACAGCGUAAUUUUUUUGGAGAGUUCAAAUCGAUAAAAAAGUUUGCGACCUCGAUGUUGGAUUAGGAAUUUAGCUAGGUGCAGAAGUUUAGCUGUAGAGUCUGUUCGACUUUAAAAUCCU